rnacentral:rRNA from 1 species
UACGAAGGGGGCUAGCGUUGCUCGGAAUCACUGGGCGUAAAGGGCGCGUAGGCGGGGAGGUAAGUCGGGUGUGAAAUCCCUCGGCCCAACCGAGGAACUGCGCCCGAGACUGCUUCUCUUGAGUCCCGGAGAGGAAGAUGGAAUUCCCGGUGUAGCGGUGAAAUGUGUAGAGAUCGGGAGGAACACCGGUGGCGAAGGCGGUCUUCUGGACGGUGACUGACGCUGAGGCGCGAAAGCGUGGGAGCAAAGCGGG